GUAAUCAACCUGCCCUUCAGAGGGGGACAACAGUUGGAAACGACUGCUAAUACCGCAUACGAAUCCCCUCUCGGCAUCGAGAGUGGAUGAAAGGUGGCCUCUAUUAAUAAGCUAUCACUGAAGGAGGGGAUUGCGUCUGAUUAGCUAGUUGGAGGGGUAACGGCCCACCAAGGCGAUGAUCAGUAGCCGGUCUGAGAGGAUGAACGGCCACAUUGGGACUGAGACACGGCCCAGACUCCUACGGGAGGCAGCAGUGGGGAAUCUUCUCGCAAUGGACGAAAGUCUGACGGAGCAACGCCGCGUGAGUGAUGACCGGCUUCGGGUUGUAAAGCUCUGUUAAUCGGGACGAAUGGUUCUUGUGCGAAUAGUGCGAGGAUUUGACGUACCGGAAUAGA
rnacentral:rRNA from 1 species